rnacentral:rRNA from 21 species
AACAUCGCUCUUUGUAAAAUUAUUAAGGUAUAAAGAGUUCUGCCUGCCCAGUGACGUAGUUAAACGGCCGCGGUAUUUUGACCGUGCAAAGGUAGCAUAAUCAUUUGCCUCUUAAAUAGAGGCUGGUAUGAAUGGCAAGACGGAGGUUAAGCUGUCUCUUUCUUAUAUCUUGAAUUUAAUAUUUUUGUGAAGAAGCAGAAAUUUAUUCGUAGGACGAGAAGACCCUAUCGAGUUUUAAUUAUACAUGUCUAUAAUGGUAGUUAUUGUUAAGGCUAAUUAGAUUAAUUUUUUGAUAAAUAAUAUUAUUUUAAGGAUAAUAAAUUUUAGAUGUAAAGAUUUUGAUUGGGGCAAUCAUGGAGAAAAAAUAUCCUCCAUUAAAAAAUAAGAAAUAACAAUUUUGUUAGAAGGAUCCGCUGUAUAGCGAAUAAAGGAAUAAGUUACCGUAGGGAUAACAGCGUAAUUUUUUUGGAGAGUUCAUAUUGAUAAAAAAGUUUGCGACCUCGAUGUUGGAUCAAGAUUUCCUAGAGAUGCAGUAGUUUCUAGAGGUUGGUCUGUUCGACCAUUAAAAUCUUACGUGAUC